CCAUUCGUCAGUUUGCCGUGGUAGGGGAGCAUUGUUAACGCAUCGAAGCCUGAUGGCGACUGACGGUGGAGUGUUAACAAGAGAGCAUGCAGACAUUAGUAACGAGAAGGCAGGUGAAAUCCCUGCCCGCCGUAAACCCAAGGUUUCCCGGGCCACGCUAUUCGUCCCGGGGUUAGUCGGGACCUAAGCCGAGGCAGAGAUGCGUAGGCGAUGGACAGCAGUUUAAUAUUACUGCACCACCGAAAAUUUAAGCACAGAGGACGGGGCCCAGGAGAGGACCUGCCGGAUGAAAGUGGCAGGGGCGCAAGCUGACGGGGCGGUUUUACCAAACCGGAUUUCUCAAAUGAGCCUCCAAGAAAAGUCUGUGUGGAUACUAAGGUGCCCGUACCGCAAACCGACACAGGUGGGUGAGUAGAAUAUACUAAGGCGUAAGAGUGAACCCCCGUUAAGGAACUCGGCAAUCUAGCCCCGUAACUUCGGGAGAAGGGGUGCCCCCCUUUGGGGGGGCCGCAGUGAAUGGGCCCAACCGACUGUUUAUCAAAAACACAGCACUCUGCCAAGACGCAAGUCCAAGUAUAGGGUGUGACACGUGACCAAUGCGGAAAGAUUAAGGCAAGCGGUUAGUCGCAAGGCGAAGCUGUGAACCUAAGUCCCCGUGAAUGUCGGCCGUAACCAUAACGGUCCUAAGGUAGCGAAAUUCCUUGUCGGGUAAGUUCCGACCUGCACGAAUCGUGUAACGAGUUGGGCGCUGUCUCAACGGGGUGCUCAGUGAAUUUGUAUUGGCGGUGAAGAUGCCGCCUACCCGUGGAAGGACGGAAAGACCCUAUGCACCUUAACUGUACUCUGUCACUGUUGUUUCGGUUUUCAUGCUCAGUGUAAGUGGGAGACUUUGAGGCAGCCCUUUCGGGGGUUGCUGAGUCGUCAAUGAGACACCACCCUUGGGGAUUGAAACAUCUAACACCGGUCCCGUGAAUCCGGGCGGAGGACAAUGGCAGACGGUCAGUUUUACUGGGGCGGUAUCCUCCCAAAGAGUAACGGAGGAGCGCGAUGGUUGGUUCAACCUGGUUGGCAAUCAGGUGACGAGUGCAUUGGCAUAAACCAGCCUAACUGUGAGACCUACAAGUCGAGCAGAUGCGAAAGCAGGUCAAAGUGAUCCGGCGCUUGAAAAUGGAAUCGGCGUCGCUCAACGGACAAAAGGUACGCUAGGGAUAACAGGCUGAUUUUGCCCAAGAGUUCAUAUCGACGGCAAAGUUUGGCACCUGAUGUCGGCUCGUCACAUCCUGGGGCUGGAGAAGGUCCCAAGGGUCCGGCUGUUCGCCGGUUAAAGUGGCACGCGAGCUGGGUUCAGAACGUCGCGAGACAGUUCGGUCCUCUAUCCUCCAUGGGCGCAGGAAAAUUGCGGGGUUCAGUCCUUAGUACGAGAGGACCGGGACUGACGCACCUCUGGUGUUCCAGUUGUCUUGUCAAAGGCAUCGCUGGGCAGCUAUGUGCGGAAGGGAUAAGCGCUGAAAGCAUCUAAGCGCCAAGCCCAUCCCAAGAUAAGUUUUCCCUGAAGGAUCGUGGCAGACUACCACGUCGAUAGGAUGCGGGUGUAAGUGCAGCAAUGCAUUCAGCUUAGCAUUACUAAUCAUCCGUUCGGCC
rnacentral:rRNA from 1 species